rnacentral:rRNA from 1 species
AUUGAACGCUGGCGGCAUGCCUUACACAUGCAAGUCGAACGGCAGCACGGGAGCAAUCCUGGUGGCGAGUGGCGAACGGGUGAGUAAUAUAUCGGAACGUGCCCAGUCGUGGGGGAUAACGCAGCGAAAGCUGUGCUAAUACCGCAUACGAUCUAAGGAUGAAAGCGGGGGAUCGCAAGACCUCGCGCGAUUGGAGCGGCCGAUAUCAGAUUAGCUAGUUGGUGGGGUAAAGGCCUACCAAGGCGACGAUCUGUAGCUGGUCUGAGAGGACGACCAGCCACACUGGAACUGAGACACGGUCCAGACGCCUACGGGAGGCAGCAGUGGGGAAUUUUGGACAAGGGGCGCAAGCCUGAUUCAGCAAUGCCGCGUGCAGGAUGAAGGCCUUCGGGUUGUAAACUGCUUUUGUACGGAACGAAACGGUGAGCUCUAAUACAGUUUGCUAAUGACGGUACCGUAAGAAUAAGCACCGGCUAACUACGUGCCAGCCGCCGCGGUAACAC